UACAUAGGUUAUAAAGGCAAACGAGGGGAACUGAAACAUCUUAGUACCCUCAGGAAAAGAAAACAAUAGUGAUUUUCAAAGUAGCGGCGAGCGAAAUGAAAAUAGCCCAAACCCAAUAUGUGUAAGCCCGAAAGCGUUGUAUAUUGGGGGUCGUGGGGUUUGAUGUUGCAUAGUUUCGGAUAUGCAAAAAGAGUUACAAAGUUGAUUUAUAACCGAAAAGUCUGGAAAGACUUACCAUAGAAUGUGAUAGUCAUUUAGGUGAAAUGAAUCAGCCUCUUUAUCAAAUUCCCAAGUAUUGCGGGACACGAGAAAUCCUGUGAGAAUUUGUGAGGACCAUCUCAUAAGGCUAAAUACUACCA
rnacentral:rRNA from 1 species